rnacentral:rRNA from 1 species
GACGAACGCUGGCGGCGUGCCUAAUACAUGCAAGUAGAACGCUGAAGGAGGAGCUUGCUUCUCUGGAUGAGUUGCGAACGGGUGAGUAACGCGUAGGUAACCUGCCUGGUAGCGGGGGAUAACUAUUGGAAACGAUAGCUAAUACCGCAUAAUAGUAGAUGUUGCAUGACAUUUGCUUAAAAGGUGCAAUUGCAUCACUACCAGAUGGACCUGCGUUGUAUUAGCUAGUUGGUGGGGUAACGGCUCACCAAGGCGACGAUACAUAGCCGACCUGAGAGGGUGAUCGGCCACACUGGGACUGAGACACGGCCCAGACUCCUACGGGAGGCAGCAGUAGGGAAUCUCCGGCAAUGGACGGAAGUCUGACCGAGCAACGCCGCGUGAGUGAAGAAGGUUCUCGGAUCGUAAAGCUCUGUUGUAAGAGAAGAACGAGUGUGAGAGUGGAAAGUUCACACUGUGACGGUAUCUUACCAGAAAGGUACGGCUAACUACGUG